ACGUAGGUGGCGAGCGUUAUCCGGAAUGAUUGGGCGUAAAGGGUGCGUAGGUGGCGGAACAAGUCUGGAGUAAAAGGUAUGGGCUCAACCCGUACUGGCUCUGGAAACUGUUCAGCUAGAGAACAGAAGAGGACGGCGGAACUCCAUGUGUAGCGGUAAAAUGCGUAGAUAUAUGGAAGAACACCGGUGGCGAAGGCGGCCGUCUGGUCUGUUGCUGACACUGAAGCACGAAAGCGUGGGGAGCAAAUAG
rnacentral:rRNA from 1 species